UACGGGGGGUGCGAGCGUUGUCCGGAAUCACUGGGCGUAAAGGGCGCGUAGGUGGCGUGAUAAGGGUGUGGUGAAAUCCCCGGGGCUUAACCCCGGGCGUGCAGUGGAUACGGGCUGGCUGGAGGCAGGCAGGGGAGAACGGAAUUCCCGGUGUAGCGGUGAAAUGCGCAGAUAUCGGGAGGAACACCGGUGGCGAAGGCGGUUCUCUGGGCCUGUACUGACGCUGAGGAGCGAAAGCGUGGGGAGCGAACAGG
rnacentral:rRNA from 1 species